UGGGGAAUUUUGGACAAUGGGCGAAAGCCUGAUCCAGCAAUGCCGCGUGUGUGAAGAAGGCCUUCGGGUUGUAAAGCACUUUUGUCCGGAAAGAAAUCCUUGGCUCUAAUACAGUCGGGGGAUGACGGUACCGGAAGAAUAAGCACCGGCUAACUACGUGCCAGCAGCCGCGGUAAUACGUAGGGUGCAAGCGUUAAUCGGAAUUACUGGGCGUAAAGCGUGCGCAGGCGGUUUGCUAAGACCGAUGUGAAAUCCCCGGGCUUAACCUGGGAGCUGCAUUUGUGACUGGCGGGCUAGAGUAUGGCAGAGGGGGGUAGAAUUCCACGUGUAGCAGUGAAAUGCGUAGAGAUGUGGAGGAAUACCGAUGGCGAAGGCAGCCCCCUGGGCCAAUACUGACGCUCAUGCACGAAAGCGUGGGGAGCAAACAGGAUUCAGAUACCCUGGUAGUCCACGCCCUAAACGAUGUCAACUAGUUGUCGGGUCUUCAUUGACUUGGUAACGUAGCUAACGCGUGAAGUUGACCGCCUGGGGAGUACGGUCGCAAGAUUAAAACUUAAAUGAAUUGACGGGGUCAUAGCUGUUUCCUG
rnacentral:rRNA from 1 species